CGGAUCCUGCAUAUCCUGGCCUGGCCAGGCUGUACCUUUUUCAUGUUUCAAAUGUGCCGGCGCUGAGCCCCUGGGUCUUCAGAUAGCCGUACGUGUACAGGGGUUUGCCCUUAAUAUCGCCAGAGGGGGCAAUUGGCAAAGGAGGAAGCGUAUUCACGUGGCCAGCGCGUGCACCCUAGCGUAGUACGUCGCCGCCUGAACUCUCGAACGAAUCUAGAUAGCGUUUGGUUCGUACUAAGGUAAUGUAAAUGUAAAGGGAAUCAGAUUACAGUGUAUUUGGAGGUGGAAUAGGUGAUUGCCCUCUUUGUUUGGUUGCACUCUGGUAACGUAAUCAGAUUACUGUGUGGGUGCUAUAUCUGAUUACGGUAGGGGAGGAGGAGUAACAAGCUUGUAUAGAUAUUAUUUAGGUAAGGGAUUCGAUUACAGUGUCAAUUGAUUACAAACCACCGUAACCAAACAUAUGUAAUGGGAUUCGUUACCUUCAGUAAUCAGAUUACGUUACAUUUGAGCCAACCAAACACUACCCUAGUUUGAACGGGCGGCGAAGGAGGAACCAGUUCUGGCCGGGGUUGCCGAUUGGCCCGCAUGCGAUCGAAUCAAAAAGCCCCACAUGCCGUGGAGUACAAAAACGAAAGUCACUCACCCCGAUCGCAUUAUUGUAGUGACAAAAUUGAAGGCGCUUUCCCUCCUCUUUUGGCGGAAGAUACUGGUUAGAAUCAGAGCCAUUUUACUGUUUAUUUUAAUUCCAAAUAUUAAAUAAAAUAUGACAUAAAAUGUUGCCAUAACAGGAGCAUGGAACUUUGUGUCUAUAGCAAUGCAUGCAAUGGAAACUUACAAGAAAUGAACCAGAAAGUUCAUGAGGAAGUACCCUGAACGGGGUCAGUUCUGGAGAAACUGAAUAUGCUGUUACCCGACAUCCGUGCAAUUGCGUUUCCAGGAAGUAGUUGUUUGCAACGAGCAGUCGCGCAGAUGCGCUCCCCAAAAACUUGAUCGUCCUUCUACUCCUUGGAUGCAGAAUCUCUGGCAAGGGCAUAGCUUCGGAGACCUGCUCUUCCGGUGAAAUCCGUGCACACAGAUCGCCGGAACAGGGACAGUAAAAACGCAGCGCAGCUGUGGAGGAGCUCUGGUGGUGUGUUGUACGCG
rnacentral:lncRNA from 1 species